AUACAGAGGGUGCAAGCGUUAAUCGGAAUUACUGGGCGUAAAGCGCGCGUAGGCGGCUUGGUCAGUCGGAUGUGAAAGCCCCGGGCUCAACCUGGGAACUGCAUUCGAUACUGCUAGGCUAGAGUAUGGUAGAGGGUAGUGGAAUUCCUGGUGUAGCGGUGAAAUGCGUAGAUAUCAGGAGGAAUACCAGUGGCGAAGGCGGCUACCUGGACCAAUACUGACGCUGAGGUGCGAAAGCGUGGGGAGCAAACAGGAUUAGAAACCCUAGUAGUCC
rnacentral:rRNA from 1 species